CAGCCCCAUCUACAUUACAUAUACAUGUACACAAUCAGAUGUAUGUAUGCGUGUGCCUGUGAGUGUGUGCGUGUGUGUAUCUGCGAUUGUGCAAAACCCGAAACGAUAUGUAUACGAAUGCGUUGCUGUUUGAAUUGUACACCAAUACAAACAGAAAGUGGGAGUGGUAUAUAAUAGUUACUUCUGGCUGUGUGUAUGUCUCUGACGCUGUCUGGCUUUGUGCGCUUGUGUUAGCAUCCCCGAAAACACAAUGACAAACGUAAUAAAAUACAAACAAAAACAAACACAAAUGAAAUGAAACACAGAAGCAGAAACGACAGAACGAGAACGAUGGCUGAGACGGAAGAAAAUUAGCAGCAGCAGCAGCAGCAGCAAAAGCAGCACACACACAAAUGCAUCACUGACGCUGACGCUGCUGUCGCCGCCCUAUACAAUACGGCAACAGGGCACAUUCUCUCUCUCGCUCAAUCUCCCUCUCGCUUGCUCUCAAUGGAUUGCAAGCACCGCACUCGCUUACACAACGCGCACAUACAACAUGCACACAGAGCAGGUGGCUUGCAACCAAUAAACAUGAGGGAGCGUGAGCGACACAUUUACAUAUUUGCAUUGUGUGUGUAUGGUUGAGAGUGAGCGCUGCCCAGUAGCGCGCGCUCACUCACUCCAAUGGCCGACGUCGCUUAUAUAAACAAAUGACAAUUGUUUUGCAUUUCUGUUCGUUGGCUCCUUUUUUUUACUUUUUGCUUUUCUUUAUAUCAGAGUAAAUUAAAAUAAAUGCAUUGCAUUUGCAAAAAACUUCGUGUACUCCCGACGUUAAACUUCGAUCUCGACUCCGACUUGGUGGCAGCUUGUGCGCAGCUGCUUAGCGAGCGAUUCGUUUUACUUUAUUUUUGUUAGCUACACAGCUCAUUUUCUUAUUGGAAAAGCAUUUUAAUUUCAAUUAAAAAAGUAAAUGACAAAGUUUUUCGAACCCCUCCGCUGGCUGAACCUACUCUACACACUCGAAUUGCCAUUACCCUAUUCUUAUCAAACUCGGCUUUUGGGUGUGUAAGCGAGACAGCUGCUGCUGCUGCUGCCGCUACUGCUCGGGAUGAAGUCCAUCUCAUAUAUUCACUGUUUUUUUAUGCUAUUUGUGGGUUUGUCAACCGUUUCCCUUUUCGUUUCUCAUUCGUUUCACAAUUUUCCAUUUCGUCUUCGGCGUCGCAUUUAUAUUUCUUGCAAUUUUUUGCUUCGAUUCUGAACGGUUUAGCAAUAGUCGUCCUUCCAUCCCGCUCGCACUCGUUGACAUUUUAAAACAUGCACUGUGAGCGUGUGUGUGCGUGUGUUGGGCUACAUAGCAGGAGUUGGGAGCCCUACUGAAGUACGAAUGUUCGACUUUUGGGGCUGGCCUGGGGCCUGGCCUGGGGCGCUUAUACUUAUAAUAAAAUACCAAAUACUUGUCGUUGUCGCACCUUUGUGGCAUCUUCUGAUAUUUACAUAUACAUAUGUAUGUAUUUUAUAUGAAUGUAGC